AAAGGCUUGGAUCUGAGUUUACAAUGCAAUGGGUUCCAAUACAUAAGGUGCAACUCUUUGGGCCCCCGUGAGGAUGCCCUGAAUUCUCCACCCGAGAACGGAGCGGGCAUCAGCACGAUAACCCUCAGCCCAAGACGCCUUGCUUAUGCCACACCCCCAAGGGAAACAGCAGUAGUAAACAUUAAGCCAUUAGUGAAAACUUGACUUAGCCAGGACUAAGAGAGUCGGUAAAUUUCGUGCCAGCCACCGCGGUUAUACGAAAGGCUCCAGUUGAUAAGUGCGGCGUAAAGGGUGGUUAGGAAGCACAUAAAAUAGAGUUAAGAGACCUCCAGGCUGUUCAACGCCCAUGUGAGGCCUGUAAGCCCACACACGAAAGUGGCUCUACCACAAUUGUCCGACCCCACAAAAAUUGAGAAACAAACCGGGAUUAGAUACCCCGUUAUGCUCAAUCGUAAACCAAGAUGUAAAUUACAAACAAUUCCGCCAGGGUACUACGAGCAUGGCUUAAAACCCAAAGGACUUGGCGGUGCCUCAGACCCACCUAGAGGAGCCUGUUCUGUAACCGAUAACCCCCGUUAAACCUCACCACCUCUUGUAAAUACCGCCUAUAUACCGCCGUCGUCAGCCCACCCUGUGAAGGAACAGCACCAAGCAAAAUGGACACACUCAAAAACGUCAGGUCGAGGUGUAGCUUAUGAGAUGGGAAGAUGAUGGGUACAUUUUCUAUGUAUAGAAUACCACGGAUAGCACUAUGAAAUAACGCCUGAAGGAGGAUUUAGUAGUAAAAAGAAAUUAGAGAGUUCUUUUGAAUCUGGCUCUGAAGCAUGCACACACCGCCGUCACCCUCCCCA
rnacentral:ncRNA from 1 species